rnacentral:lncRNA from 1 species
GUGCUGAGAGGUCUCUACGGGAGCAGUAUGUGCUCUUGACUACCCAAGUUAUAUCUUCUUGUGUGUGUUUUUUCACAUGUCUGUGUUUCCACAUGUGUGAAGAUGUCUACCGAGGUCAGAAGAGGGUCUUGGAUCCUUGUUAGCUGUCCCAUCACCCCUUUUGUGAAAUUCUGUUGCUUUCCCAUUAUUUCUGGCUUUGAAAUGGAGUCUGUCCUAUUUUACUUCCUAGGUCAGAGAGAGGCCGUUUCUAAUCCAUUAUCUCACCCCAGAUGUUCACAUUUCCUUCUAAAGUAUCAUGGAGGAGUGGCCAUGGGAAGACCCAGCUAUGGAAGCAGUUGUGAGAUACCUGGCCAUGAUUUGGGGAUACAACAUGGCCUCAAAUCCUAAGAGAUUAUGUGGUUUCUUUCACAGCCAGGAGCCAGAGGCGCCACACAUCAAAAGGUGGUUUUGAAGGGGCUGCCCCCAUCACUCCUAAUGACCUCCAGUGACAUUUUGUGUGUCCACCCUGCAACUUUGGGUUUCCCUGGUUUUGAAGUCCUGGUUCUCAUGGAAUUCACAGAAGAAGAAAUGCACAUGUUCAUGUCUGUGCUUUCCAUCAACCCAGCUGGCGGAGAACCUUCAGGGUUGGAGAAAUGCCACUCCCCACCUCACAGAAAGGGGAAACUGAGGCUUGGAGACAAAGUGCACUUUGAACAUAGAGAUGAGGUGGAACGGGGACUCCGGUAUUGUGCCCACCCUGCUGCUCUGUGGCUAAAGAAUGCUGCCUUUCUCCAGAUGGUGAUUAAUAACUAACUUGCGCCUUGCCCUCUGCGGCGGCCCCUCCCAGAAGACUGGGGUUGUUUUCUUAUCUAAAUAAACUGC